GACAGAUUAUUUGAGAUGAUGGAAGGGUUCAUAGCUGCCCAGCAAGGGCGAGAGGAGAGAAGAAAGUUACCCGACCCUCCUCCACUACCGCAGGUUAAGCCUCCGCUACAGCAGGCUGAUCCCGAGCCACCCCGACACGAGCCUGCCCCUCCACAGUACCACCCGGCACCACUGCCGCAGUACAACCCGGUGCCCUAGCCACGGUACUACCCAGCACCACCACAGUACAACCCAGUGCCCCCAUCAUAUCAGCAGGUGCCACCACAGGACCCCCCAGUCUAUCCCCAGCCGGGUCAAGUCCCUCUUCCACGGGACCCCGCUCC
rnacentral:lncRNA from 1 species